GAUGAACGCUGGCGGCGUGCCUAAUACAUGCAAGUCGAGCGAAGCGGGGACGGGGGAGUAACACGUGGAUAAACUCCUAUAAGACUGGGAUAACUUCGGGAAACCGGUGCUAAACCGGAUACUUAUCGAUGGAUCCGCGCUGCAUUAGCUAGUUUGUAAGGUAACGGCUUACCAAGUCAACGAUGCCUAGCCGACCUGAGAGGAUGAUCGGCCACACUGGAACUGAGACACGGUCCAGACUCCUACGGGAGGCAGCAGUAGGGAAUCUUCCGCAAUGGGCGAAAGCCUGACGGAGACAUGCCGCGUGAUUGAUGAAGGUCUUCGGAUUGUAAAACUCUGUUAGUAGGGAAGCGGUACCUAAUCAGAAAGCCACGGCUAACUCCGUGCCAGCAGCCGCGGUAAUAC
rnacentral:rRNA from 1 species